CAUACGGGGCUGGGAGCCUCUCUUUGGCGGCGCGGUCGGUCUAUAAAAGAGACGUUGGGCGCCGGCGCCCAUUUGCUUUUGUGGCGUGGGUGGAGGAGGUUGAAUUGCUACUGUGCGGCCGUGCUCCCGCGUGUCGUGUAGUGAUAACUCAGUGACUGUCGAGAUGGUGGAAGCAGAUCGUCCUGGAAAACUCUUCAUUGGCGGUCUUAAUACUGAAACGAAUGAAAAAGCACUUGAAGCAGUGUUUGGCAAAUAUGGAAGGAUAGUCGAAGUUCUGCUGAUGAAAGAUCGGGAAACAAACAAGUCAAGAGGUUUUGCUUUUAUUACUUUCGAAAGUCCAGGGGAUGCGAGGGAUGCAGCCAGGGAUAUGAAUGGAAAGUCUUUGGAUGGAAAACCUAUUAAAGUAGAGCAAGCUACUAAACCAGCAUUUGAACAUAGUGGACGACGUGGACCACCCCCACCCCCAAGAAGCCGUGGUCCUCCUAGGGGGAUUCGAGGUGGAAGAGGAGGUAGUGGAGGAAUGAGAGGCCCACCUCAAAAAGUCACCUCCAGAGGACCACCAUUGAAAAGGGGUCCCCCAGGACGUGCAAACGGACCCCCACCUAAAAGGCCUUUUCCUUCUGGGCCAAUGAGAACUGGGAGUAUGGGUGGAAGAGGAAGUGGAUCAAGAGGACCUCCCUCGCGUGAAAGGGACAGUUAUCCAUCACCUCCAUCCCGCAGAGAGAUGAUGCCAUCAAGAAGGGAUGAUUAUAUUCCCAGAGAGGAUUACUACUACAGAGACAAUUACUCUAACAGAGAUUAUCCAAGCUCUCGAGAGACAAGAGAUUAUGGUCCACCACCAAGGGAAUCGUAUAGUUCCCGUGAAUAUUCCCACUCGGGUGGACGCGAUGAUUAUGGAUCAAGAGGAUACAGUGACCGAGAUGGAUAUGGUGGACGUGAAACACGUGACUAUUAUAAUGAUCGUCCAAGUGGUGGCUCCUACAGAGACUCGUAUGAUGGCUAUGGAUGAGGAUAUAGAAAAUCGUUUUGAAAACUGAUGCGGAGGUGUCCACCUGUAAGCUGGUUGAUUUCCUGAGCUGGUUGAGGACUAUUUACCCAGAUCGAGAAAUCUGGAUUUAAAUGACACCAUUGAAAAUUCAAAAGUGCUGGAGCAGCAUUGUGUGGAUUGUUGAAGAGACCUUGAACUCCACAAGACUAUUACAUGACCAACAAGACAUUCUUUAUGGCACUACUGAGAACAGAGGGUGGUUAGAGCUGUAUUCAACCAUGUGUUUCUGAAGUGCAUUUGGAUUUUAUGUAGAGAAUUUUGUAGUAAUGCUUGAACCUCUGGCGAAAAACUGGGAGAAAUUAAAGGCAGUCUAUAAUUUAAGAUUGUCUACUGUUAACCUGUCCUUCUCAGUUAUCAUUAACCCGCCCAUUAUUACAAACUGUUUGUGACUAAUUAUAAUUGACCCUUUUUGCCGAGCUAUUGGUCUGCUGCAGCUCAUGGCAAGAUUAAUCCAAUAAACUUUUAUUUCCUUAAAUUUACUCAAAUGGGAAAGGUACAGUAGAUGUUGGAGUAGAGAUGAUCACAUUUAAACAUAUUAAUAGGUCUACUGAUGGAGAGUGUUCCAGUUUGCUCAACUAAGAUCUGAAAGUAAUUUUCACAAUUAGAACACAGGUUAGACUGGUAGGGUAGAAUGUAUGACUGCUCUUAAUCCAGCACUUCAGUACCAACAGGCAAUGAAGGGAAAACAUUUUUCUUAAGACGUGAACACUGACUUGAAACUAAAUUUAGUUUUCCCAAAUGCAUUGUGUCUUACAAUUACCAUUGAUGUGAAACUAGGUAGGAAUAAAUGGAAUUAUGUAGGGCCAAUGCAGAUGACCUAGCACAAUGUGGGUAGUAAUUAAAAAGGAAAUGCUAAUGUGCGAGUUGUCUUUCUACUCCAAUCACUAAAAGUAAUCUCUAAUAAUAGAUUUAAUGAGCAUUAAAGCAGAUGGUUUGAAAUAUGCUUUCAAUAGAAAGGUCUUAUGGAAUUUCUGGGUUCUCAGAUAACAGGACUGUUGUGUAAGGUGUGGUGGGUCCAUUUUCUCUAGUAUUUCGUAGAAUUGGAGGAGAUCUCAUUUAACCUGAAAGAAGUAGACAGACCAGAUAUAGGGAGGAUGUUUGUCCUAGUUUGAAGUCCAGAGGUCUGUCUGGCUAAGAACUUUGACAUUGACACUCUCAGAUGACAACCUGUGAAGGCUAAGCUAUUUGCUGAAUAUAUUUAAGGAAAUGAUCACAAAAACUUCUGAGGGUAUGGGGAGAAUUGGCAUUAAGAUUCUUAUUGAACCGCAGAACCUGUUUGAAGGGCGCUUGCAUCAUGCAAAACUAAAGGGCCCAUGUUGAUGACAAACUGAAUGGCCUGCACCUGGGCUAUCUUCCUACUCAUACUUGAUCCUCAUUUUGCACAAUUAAAACUUCCAAGUACUGUAUUAAAAUUGGCGCCUUAUCCAAGCAGUAAAAAUUCAAUUGUUGAAAGUUAGUCUGUGGAUUUUAUCCAAUCAAUUUGAAAUGACAAUUCAUUUGGUAUUGCACUGGAACAACUGAGUGAUUGAACCUUUCUGAGAUGUAUACAAUGUUACAUGCACAUUAGAAUGUUCAGAAUUUGUACAUUUUUCAUAGUUUCAACUUUGCAAUAAAACCCAUUUAAUUAUU